GCCAGACCAGCAAGACCUGAAUAUGGCGAAGCCAGUCACAUAUAUGCGGCUGUUCGACGCUCAGGGUAUUUGUUGUUAAACAAAGGCGACAGCUACUACUCCACGCCAGAGGGCAUUCCCCCCACCAUCGCACUCCUGCCGGCAGCUGUUUACACAUACUCCCAUAACAAGGACGACUCUGCAGUCCAAGUUGCAGUGGCAUAAACGUGAACGAAGCACCAACAUUGUAAUUAAAUCUGCGUCAACAUAAACGCUGCCAGCUGCACAAGCGGCUGGAGCAAAAAUGGCCAAGGAGGAUGCUCACUUGUUGGCCGAGACAGGUGGGCAUACGGGACUUACUUGGAUGAGCAGAAAACUCUGACUAGACACAAUCAAAAAAAAAGGCGAGGCUUUAAUUGUUUAAUGCCCAAGUUUUCUGUAACAAAUUUUCAUAGAAAAAUGUAAAAUUCUCUUAUUAGAGCAAGUCUUUCGACAAAAAAGAAGCCCCUACUCUUAA